rnacentral:rRNA from 1 species
GACGAACGCUGGCGGCGUGCCUAACACAUGCAAGUCGAACGCGUCUGUGCUUCGGCACAGAUGAGUGGCGAACGGGUGAGUAACGCGUGAGUAACUCCCCUUGGGGAGGGGGAUAACCAUCUGAAAAGGUGGCUAAUACCCCAUAUUCUCUUUUCUCAUAAGAGGAAGGAGGAAAGGUGGCGCAAGCUGCCACCCCGAGAGAGGCUCGCGUCCCAUCAGCUAGUUGGUAGGGUAAUGGCCUACCAAGGCUAUGACGGGUAGCUGGUCUGAGAGGAUGGUCAGCCACACUGGGACUGAGACACGGCCCAGACUCCUACGGGAGGCAGCAGUGAGGAAUCUUGGGCAAUGGGCGAAAGCCUGACCCAGCGACGCCGCGUGGAGGAAGAAGGCCUUCGGGUCGUAAACUCCUGUUUGGGAGAAGAACAAGAGAGAAGUUAAUAGCUUCUCUCUCUGACGGUAUCCCCGGAGAAACGCUCCGGCUAAUUACGUGCCAGCAGCCGAC